UACAGAGGGUGCAAGCGUUAAUCGGAUUUACUGGGCGUAAAGGGCGCGUAGGUGGUUAUGUAAGUGAGAUGUGAAAUCCCCGGGCUUAACCUGGGAACUGCAUCUUAUACUGCAUAGCUGGAGUGCAAUAGAGGGUAGUGGAAUUUCCGGUGUAGCGGUGAAAUGCGUAGAUAUCGGAAGGAACACCAGUGGCGAAGGCGGCUACCUGGAUUGACACUGACACUGAGGCGCGAAAGCGUGGGGAGCAAACAGG
rnacentral:rRNA from 1 species